AGGCGCUGCAUUCGGAGCCGUCCAGGAGCCGUUAAACUGGGCGGUCUCGAGGGCGGGGCACUGGGAGAAGAGGGCGGCCGCUGUACCUUGCGCAGCCGAGGAAGAUGGUAUUCGAGUCAGUGGUCGUGGACGUGUUGAACCGGUUCUUGGGGGACUAUGUGGUGAACCUGGACACGUCCCACCUCUCUUUGGGCAUCUGAAAAGGAGAUGUGGCCCUCAAGAAUCUUGAAGUCAAAGAAAAUGCCCUGAGUCAACUGGAUGUGCCCUUUAAAGUUAAAGUUGGUCAUAUUGGUA